UACCAGACGCCCCACACACGGUUGUUUCCUCUCCGCGGCAGAUCCAUUCAAUACAGGACGUCAAUUACCAUUUCCGUAUUCUUUUGGUGAAAGUAAAGCACACAAGGACGAAGCCAUCUGUCAAGCAAUGCCACCCAUGUGCUGCUCCCGCAUCGGCUCCUCUCACCCUGUCUACUCAGAAUCACUUCAGUUGCCUUUGCUGAAGAUGAAAGCAAAAAAUGUGUCUCUCCUACCUUUUCCAUUCCCUAAACAAAUUAGUCUAAUGGUUUGUUAAAACUGGACGUGCAAAAGCCGGUCUGUCAGAAUCAUAACCAGCAAUUCCAAGUAUGCCAUGUAUGUAUUAGCCAGACGAAAGUUUUUGAAAUAGGUACUAUGUUUUGAUCCAUUAAAGAUAAAUAUUGCUAUUCUUUCUAUUCAGCUGCCCAGGACACAUGCAAACUUUAAUCCAUUAUACACUGCAAAAACUUAAAAUGUUAAUUUCAGUUUUGUUUCAUUUUGCUGCACUACUCUGAGUGAAUACUCUGUAUUUUUUCCAAAGCCUCACUAACUUUAGGUACACAGCUUGAUUCCAAGCACGAUUUUCAGGAGUACUGAGCACUCUUUUUCUUCAUGGACUUUAGCAGGUGAUCUGCAAUAUUUCAUGUCUGUACUUAGGGCCUCAUGAGUCUUAACCCGGGUGGUCAAAACACAGGUUCAGGGAAGCCUAGGCCUGGCCAUUACUUCAAUUUCUUCAGCUGCAGUAUGGAGAUGGUCAUCCCUCAACAAUUACUACAUUGGAUUACGUCACAGUCCCAUCGUAAUGUCAAUAAAGUGACUGGGGAAUGCCAAAUUA